CCGGGGCGGGACGGCGGCAGCGCGGGGGCCGAGCGCAGGCUCCCUACUGCCCCUGCCUGGCGCUCCGGGGGCGUGUGUGCGGAGCGGGCAAAGCGGGGGCGGAGGGCAGUGCGGGGAGAGAAAAUUCCGGGAAAAGGAGAAGAGAGAAAAGGAAACAGAAAGAGAGGGAAUAGCGAGGGGACGGGCAGGCUGGGGUUGGGGGGGGGGGGCGUCUAGGCUCCUCGCUUCUCUCCCCGUCCCCUGUCCGAGCCCCUGGGUCUCUGUGCGCUGCCCUCCCCCUGGCUCGCCCCGUCCGGCUCGGCCUCUCGCUCCCUUCUCCUCCCUCCGUCGCUCACACACAAACAAAAUGGCGGCUGUUGUUCCUUCGCUCUCCCGAGCCCUCGGAGGGAAGCGGCGGUGGCGGCGGCGGCCGGAAAUGAGCCAAGAGAACACGGGGGGGCGGGGCCGCCACCAGGGGCGUGGUCAGCCCUGCGGGCGGGGACACGGCGGGGCGGGGCCCGGCGGCGCUAGCGCACACAAUGGAACGCGGGGCGCCGGCGGGGUGGGGGGAGCGGCACCGCCCCAGCCGCCGUCACGAGACCGCGUUUAUCCAAUCAGCGCUCGCAUCUCUCCGGCCUCUUCCGCAAACUCCACUGGCCCCGCCCCUUAAAGGCGAAGGGUUUUUCCCUUAAAAAAAAAAGAAAAAAAAAAAAAGGCUCCUUCUUCCUGCCCCGCCCCACACGCCCUUAUCUGUCGGCCCAAAAGUGCGCGGCGUAGGCCCAGGGGAGCUUGGUCAGACCCUGUAGCUUCCACGGUCUGCUACACAACCCGAUGUCUGCUGCCCGGCCCGGUGGGCUGAGGCGCCGGCGGGAAGAGCGCGGUUCUUUCGCCGCCGCCCUCCCUCCCUCCUUCCUUCCCUACAGGCCGCCGGCUCCCGGCCGGUUCCCCGCUGCGCCGGCGGGCGGGGCGUUCCUGCCGGCGGUCCCGGGCCGUGCUGCGCCACAGACAUGGCAGCCCGGGCCGGCAGUCCCCGGCCAGCGAGCAAAGGGGCCGCGCAACCGGGCCUGCACCCCGAGGCCCCCAAGGUGGGCGAGUGUAUGUGCGAAUCACACAAUCGCAGAAUAAAUUAGAUUAGAAAAGACCUCUGAGAUCAUCGAGUCCAACCUGUGACCGAACGCCACCAUGUCAGUCAGACCAUGGCACUGAGUGCCACGUCCAGUCUUUCGUUAAACACCCCCAGGGACGGAGACUCCUCUACCUACCCGGGCAGCUCCCAAUCCCUAAUUGCCCUUUCUGUGAAUAAAUUCCUCCUAAUCUGGGGGCGCUCUCUACUGCCCAUCCCCGGGGUGCCCAGAGCUGCCUCAGACUCCCGUCGGCGUUACAAAACAAACAAAAACCCCCAAAUCCCACACUUUUACGCCAAAGGGUACAUAAGCCCCUCGCUCUCUGCCAGAGCCCUGCGUGUGCCGGGGAUGGCGCAGGGCACGGUAUGAGGGAUCGCAGAGUCCUGACAGCCCUCCCGCCCCUCCGAGGGGUGUCGCAGGCGCAGGUGACACUGGCGCGGUCCUUCGCCAGCCCUCUCAGCCCCCGAGCCGUCCCAGAGGUUACGGGCCUGCCACGAGUUCUUCUCAAAUCUCUGAGGGCUCAUCCAUGAGGAAUGCCCCAUCCCGGCAUUUCCCUUCGGUGCGUUUGGACUCCGCCGGGCCGCACACCAUUACGAGAUAGGAGUGGAAGGGAAAUGCAGGCACGUGCGUGUUUUUGACGGAGAAUCAGGGGGUGUUGAUCCAAAACCGGACAUUUGCGAGGAGGACUUCCCUUGCCGCUCACCCUCAGGGCUGGGCUCUCUGCAAUCCACGUAAGAGCUGCAGCAGGUAUUUGGGAAGAGCCUAGACUAAACACAGAAUCCAUACUGCAGCCUACAAGAGGAGCCUACAGACAGGAGGAGAUUCACAGCCCUUAUUUCUUAAUUUUUUUUUACUUGCUACAACAUUUUUCUAUAUGCUGAACUGCAGCGUGGUGUUUGAUGUCUGCAAUCAAAAUGCAACAAGAGGGAGAAGCCAUCCCAGCAUAGUUAGCUCCUGCAAGAAAAUUCUUUAAAAAUUAUUUUCACCAUGGUGAGCAUCUUCCACAGAGGAGUGCAUCAGCUUCCAGAAGGUGAGACAUGUGGAAGAUUCCCUGUUGCCAUGCAAAGGAACCGAGCCAAGGACUAACAACAGUGGUCUGACUCUACAAUAUGAAGGGGGAGCACGUCUGUGCUUGCACAGAAGUAUCCCACAUCAGUGCAAAAUAGGCCUGUGGAUUCCUCCAUCCCUCCUGGGUAUUUCAAUUAAAAGCAGAGAAGGAAGUCCAAGAAAAUGCCUAAAAUGGCUUGAGUCCUUCCUCACGAUCUGGAAAUGGAAGUCUGCGGUGACUAACUCCAGCCCAGCCACCAAACCCCUCCCUCCCCGACUCUGCAUUGCUCUGUUCAUUCCCAGCUUCUCUCCUGCGUUUGCAAACAGUCGGCAGUGGAAACAGUGAAGCAGCCUGGCUUCGAACGCCAGCACCACACCAGUGUUCUUCAGGUCUCAAAUAGAAAUUUGGGCUGCUGAAGACACUGAGACCAUCUCCCAUCCCCACUGCUUGAGAUGUUUGUGUUGCUUUCCCGGGCCUGCCAACAAGAAAGCUGAGGUGGAGGAUGAGCCUGAUGUCCUGGAAAAGCCGCAGAGUCAGACUGAGUGAGCAGGGGUGUGGCAGAGCUUUUCAGCUCCUCUUGCUGCACACAGCCUUUUCACAAAGGCAGAGCUGGGACUCGUCUGUAUUUCACUUCCUGCUGUCCUUCUGAGCACCAUUCUGCACGCAAAUGUGCCCAUGGACUAAAUACCUUGAAACUCAUACUUUCCAGGAGAUGCACAUUACCUUGUCUUCUUCAAGCCUCUGUGUGGCUUAUACUGCAGCUGAUCCCAAAGCAUGAGCAAGAGAAAGAAUGGUGGUGGAAAUCCAAGGAAAGAAGGAAGCUAGGGCAGCUCUUUUAUGUUUCCUCCUAGAGUUGCCAUGGACAUACACGGAUGAGGGGAAGCACAUGUAUCCAUGUCUGUCACUCACAGCAGUUUGGAAUGGGGGUAAGAGGACCUGUCACCCCAAGCCAUUUUCCUGACUGAGCUGUUGGAGAUCUUUGGUGCUGCCUCCCACAGCCACCUCCUGGCUUAGUAGAGCUGGUGGCACCAGUCUCCUCCAGCAGUGCCUGCAAGUGUAUGGGAAGCAGGUGGAGGCAAGGCUGAGGAAAUGGGGAGGUGCAGAGCAGGGUGGAUGGACCAAGUGUUCAGAACAGAGUGAGAAAAUUGACAUCCCAUAGAGGGAACCCUUUCUUCUCUUGGAAGGCACUUUGAGGGGCUGUUUUAAAAGUUUCGUCCAGUGGACUGAAGAAGAAGAAGACAUGCUUGAGAUACAAGCACAUAUUGCUUUCAGGACCAUUGCUGAGUGUGGCAGGAUAUGAAGACCUGGCGAGCUAUCCCUCCUGUGUCCAAUGGAGAGAGGCUGGAAAGCUGCUAAAAAAGGGAAAGAACAAGCCAAUGCCCUGUUGUUGUGAAGGAGUCAAGUAGCAGAGAAACAAAACAGAACUUGCAACACCUUGACUUCUGGGAUUGAAUGCAAUGUCAGCCCAGGUGAACCCAAAAUCACCCCACUAACACCCUCCCUCAGACUGCCGAGGAAGGGCACCGCUGGUACCUUGGAUCUCCAUGGGAACUAUAUCAGAGAGAGGGGAAAUAAAAGAGGAGAGCAGAGAACAGACCAGAGAAAAGUGGACUUUUCAUCUUGCAAUCUGUGCAGAAUACGUACUUUUGGAACUCCCAUUCCCGGUUGUCCAGCGGACAUACUUGGCGAGUUUUGAGCCAGCGAGAGAUGCAGUGG